rnacentral:RNase_MRP_RNA from 1 species
ACUGCCAAGAGUCCCAACAGGAGGCAAAGAAGGGCAACUCCAAGCAGCAUGGUGAUGCACCAUCAUCCUUGGGCCUGAA